rnacentral:misc_RNA from 1 species
CAACCCUCGAGCCCCUACGGGCUUGGUGUUGGGGAUCGGCCGCCGCCCCCGGCCGGCCGGCCCCGAAAUGCAGUGGCGGUCCCGCCGCAGCGUCCUCUGCGUAGUAGCACACACCUCGCACUGGAACGCGGCGCGGCCACGCCGUAAAGCAAAGAGGCGCCCGCCUCUUUCUCUUCAA